AACUGAUACUACCUGCGGGAACCUGCGGAAGGAUCAUUAACGAGUUUUGAAGUGGGAUUGAUGCUGGCCUUCCGAGGCAUGUGCUCGUCCUCGCUCAUCCACUCACAACACCUGUGCACUGUUGAGGUGUGGCCCCCUUUCAAUGGAGCCGUUCCCCCCUAGGGGGUCGAGCCGGGGUCAGGCCUUCUUCGUCACAAACAACUUGUAAUGUCUAUUCGGAAUGUAAUGCUUCAUGUUAAU
rnacentral:misc_RNA from 1 species